rnacentral:tRNA from 1 species
GGGCGCGUAGUUUAACCGGCAAAAUCCCGGUCUCCAAAACCGGAGUUUCCCGUUCAAAUCGGGGCGCGCCUGCCA